ensembl:snRNA U2 U2 spliceosomal RNA
AUUGCUUCUUGGCCUUUUGGCUAAGAUCAAGUGUAGUAACAGUAGCUAACAUUUAUUUAGCAAGUCAAUAUAUCUCAUUUAAUCCUC